AGAUAUGCAAAAUACACAUGGAUCUGAACAUUUCUGAUCCGUUGGCAAAACCACUCCCGCAGGCUAAGCAUGAUGCGCAUGUAAGAGCUAUGGGUAUUAGGUACCUUCUAGAUUGACUCUAGUGCAAGUGGGAGACUGUUGGAGGUAUGCCCUAGAGGCAAUCAUAGAGAUGAUGAUAUUCCAUUUGUAUCCAUGAUUUGUAUUUUGUGUUCAUUGAAUAUCCAUUAAAGGCUACUUGAAUUGAUUUGCAAUUAUGUGAAUUGUAUGUGAAACUCUUUACUUGUAUGGUUAUUCUAAAGUUGUCCCUAGUCGGAGUUCAUGUGAGGACACACAUGAAUAUUAG
rnacentral:lncRNA from 1 species